AACGAACGCUGGCGGCAGGCCUAACACAUGCAAGUCGAGCGGGCGUAGCAAUACGUUUGUAAAGCGGCGAACGGGUGAGGAAUACAUGGGUAACCUACCCUCGAGUGGGGAAUAACUAGCCGAAAGGUUAGCUAAUACCGCGUACGCUCCUUGGACUUCGGUUCAGGGAGGAAAGCGAUACCGUGGGUAUCGCGCUCUUGGAUGGGCUCAUGUCCUAUCAGCUUGUUGGUGAGGUAACGGCNCACCAAGGCUUCGACGGGUAGCUGGUCUGAGAGGACGAUCAGCCACACUGGCACUGCGACACGGGCCAGACUCCUACGGGAGCAGCAGUAAGGAUAUUGCGCAAUGGGCGAAAGCCUGACGCAGCGACGCCGCGUGGGGGAUGAAGGU
rnacentral:rRNA from 1 species